UACGGAGGGUGCAAGCGUUGCUCGGAAUCACUGGGCGUAAAGGGCGUGUAGGCGGUCUCGUAUGUCUGACGUGAAAGCCCCGGGCUCAACCCGGGAAGUGCGUUGGAAACUGCGAGACUAGAGUCUCGGAGAGGAAGGUGGAAUUCCAGGUGUAGCGGUGAAAUGCGUAGAUAUCUGGAAGAACACCGGUGGCGAAGGCGGCCUUCUGGACGAUGACUGACGCUGAGACGCGAAAGCGUGGGGAGCAAACAGG
rnacentral:rRNA from 1 species